rnacentral:rRNA from 1 species
UACGAAGGGGGCUAGCGUUGUUCGGAAUCACUGGGCGUAAAGCGUACGUAGGCGGACCGUUAAGUCGGGGGUGAAAUCCCAGGGCUCAACCCUGGAACUGCCUUCGAUACUGGCGGUCUGGAGUCCGGGAGAGGUGAGUGGAACUCCUAGUGUAGAGGUGAAAUUCGUAGAUAUUAGGAAGAACACCAGUGGCGAAGGCGGCUCACUGGCCCGGUACUGACGCUGAGGUACGAAAGCGUGGGGAGCA